UUCUGGCCUGUAAGCAACAGGAAGGCGGAGACCACAUUUAUAUUAUUGGUUCUACCUAGUGCCUCGUUUGUGUCUGCUCGGUUGUUGAAUCUCCUCGCUACCAAGUCACUCCAGUAUCAUCCCCAUUUCACAACGGGGAAAUUGACACUCAGAGAGGUCAAAUGGCUUGCCCAGGGUCACAUGCCCCAAGGAGGUACCGAUUCAAACCCUGAUCCUGAUGUAAUUAACAGCCCUCUCAGCUAUUUCCAGAUUCACUGCUGGGGUUGGGGCUGGGGCUGGGGGUGGGGUGGGCGGGUAACUUUUCUGGUGCUUACAGUAAGCGAGUUCUUACUGCCCACCUCUGCCUGCCAGCCACGGGAGAACCAAAACUCACAGGAGCCACGUGCAAGGCGCCUUUGUGGAAUAAAUCUAGAAACUCCCAGUUCCCCCUACACGGAACUUUUUCGGACACAAUCCUGCCUCUCUUAAACUUUCCCCCCUCGUUGUGCCAAUGAACACAGUUGGGCGAUUGGACAAGCCUCCUCCCGUGGGAUUCACCUUAGAACUCUCUGGUCAGUGAAUUUGGCAGAGAGAGCUUGUGGGGACAGGGGACUCUGGUGAACCCUGAUUCAGGUGGCCAGGUACGGGGCUUUCCAGGUGGCCUUCACAAAGAGGGUGUGACUCUUUUUUUUUUUUUUUUUCUUAAUUCAAACUCUUGUGUCUUUCAAACUCUCGUGUCUGACUUGCAAUAGAUCUCUUCCAGGGAGCUGAAGAGGGCGUGACUCUCGCCUCAGGUUUUGGUGUCACAGCCAGAGAGGCCAGGAAUCCAGGACCAGGGACUCCAGCUCUGCAAUAGACCUGGUGGGGGGAGGGGCCAGGGCUAGAGGGAGGGGCCGAUCCUACACUCCACCUGCGGGAAGGAGGAUUUUGUGCUGGGCACGUAAUCAAUCCCCACGACAACCCUGGCAAGAUGGGUUUUUAAUAUUCUCCGUAAUACAGGUGAAAAAGCAGAAGCUUGGGGACAUUAAGAAAGCGCCUUGCCCAAGGACGCUGUGUGGCAAGUGGCGGUCAGCCCAGAUGUUCAGGUCUGCACUUCUCUGUAGAAGGCGGAGGGCCUUCAGUGACCUGGCGCCGGACGCAGCCAGGAAUCACUAGCAUUGAUGGAGGGCUCGCUGUGCGCCAAGCGGUGUUCUAGAAGCCUCAGCUCUGUUCCUGCUCGCAUCAACCUAGGACCUGUUAGCCCGGCCAUUUUACAGACGGAGACAAAUGAGGCACAGAGUGAGAGGGGAGGGCAGGGCAGAGAGAGAGAGUGAGAACGGGGCUCCGUCUCAUGAACAGUGAGAUCAUGACCUAAACUGAAAUCGAGUCCAAUGCUCAACCGACUGAGCCACCCAGGCGCUCCCCGUGGGUGCUUGCAUUCAUUCCGUGAGUAUUAACUGUACCAGGCACUGGGAGAUCAGACACUGAGGAGACAUGGACCCUGCCCUCAAGGAGCUUACAGUCGAGAGAGGAGACGGAGACCAGCCAACAGGCCUUCCCGAAAGAGUGGCGGAGAACAGAUCUGUUCUACCUGUGACCACCAGGGCGAUUCUGUCGCGGACUUCAGCAGGUAAAGCAGCUGGGACCUGAGGUGCCUCCGGGAGAAGGAGGAGACUCAUAAUCCAGGGCUCAGUUCCCCCAGGGGUGCCCCCUUCUGACCACUCUCCUUCCCUGUCCCACCCCAACUCCUGCCCUUGCUGUGGCUGCUGGCUUCCCCUCCUGUCUUUCCCCAGGUCCCCCUCCCCAAGCAGCCUGGAGACACUCCAGGGCAACCUUCUCCCCACCCCAGGCAGUCCCUCUCCCACAACAGACUCACCCCUACAGGGCUGUUGGCUGUCCCCGCUCAGUAAGCAGCGAGGAUAGGGCAUCAGGAGACAGUGAGAGUGCAAACACCCAUUCUGCUACCUGGGACACACACACAGCAGGUGGAGUGAGAGAGUAACCCCCCAGGGUCCCCUCUGGGCCAGGAAGUCCUUGCAGUGUGACUCAAAUCCCACCUGCUAGGGCACUUCCUCUCAUUUCGCCUCUAAGACACCUUCCCUCGGGGUAACGGCUAUCGGAGACUUGAAAUACGCCACUCCAAUUCCUUCAUUUUUGCAAAUGUCACAUUAAAGUGAACAAGGUGAUUUUGCCUCUGCCUGCUUCACGUCCUUGGUUACUUCUUGCAUCCUUGUCCCCCUCCCUCUGUGUAAUAACCUUCUUUUGGACUUACAAAUGUGCUACCGCAGGCCCUUUGCACUUGCUGUAGCCUCUUUCCAGAGGACUUCCUAGCCCAUCGAUGGCCUCCCACUGAGUUCAGGGCUCAGCUCAUCUGUCACUCCUUUUUUUGUUGUUUUUAAUUUUUUUUAACGUUUAUUUAUUUUUGAGACAGAGAGAGACACAGCAUGAACGGGGGAGGGGCAGAGAGAGAGGGAGACACAGAAUCGGAAGCAAGCUCCAGGCUCUGAGCCAUCAGCCCAGAGCCCGACGCGGGGCUCGAACUCACGGAUGGCGAGAUCGUGACCUGAGCUGAAGUCGGACGCUUAACCGACUGAGCCACCCAGGCGCCCCU